rnacentral:rRNA from 1 species
GAUGAACGCUGGCGGCGUGCCUAAUACAUGCAAGUCGAGCGAACAGAUGAGGAGCUUGCUCCUCUGACGUUAGCGGCGGACGGGUGAGUAACACGUGGAUAACCUACCUAUAAGACUGGGAUAACUUCGGGAAACCGGAGCUAAUACCGGAUAAUAUAUUGAACCGCAUGGUUCAAUAGUGAAAGACGGUUUUGCUGUCACUUAUAGAUGGAUCCGCGCCGCAUUAGCUAGUUGGUAAGGUAACGGCUUACCAAGGCAACGAUGCGUAGCCGACCUGAGAGGGUGAUCGGCUACACUGGAACUGAGACACGGUCCAGACUCCCACGGGAGGCAGCAGUAGGGAAUCUUCCGCAAUGGGCGAAAGCCUGACGGAGCAACGCCGCGUGAGUGAUGAAGGUCUUCGGAUCGUAAAACUCUGUUAUUAGGGAAGAACAAAUGUGUAAGUAACUAUGCACGUCUUGACGGUACCUAAUCAGAAAGCCACGGCUAACUACGUG